rnacentral:misc_RNA from 1 species
CAAAAACAACAUAAGCAGAUAGAUCACACUUGUGUAUGAAAUUCUUUUCUCCUCUGCAUUUGCUCGGUGAUUCUCUUUUUGGCUUUCUAGAAGUCUUGAUCUUAAAUCAAAACCGAUGGUGAAAGAUACUACCUAUUAUGAAAUUUUGGGUGUCAAUGUGGAUGCGUCUGCCGCAGAUAUCAAGAAGGCUUACUACCUCAAGGCAAGGGUAGUUCAUCCAGAUAAAAAUCCUGGUGAUCCAAAGGCUGCAGAAAAUUUUCAGAAACUUGGAGAGGCAUACCAGGUCUUAAGUGAUCCUGAGAAGCGGCAAGCAUAUGACAAGCAUGGAAAGGAAGGAAUACCACAGGAUUCCAUGUUAGAUCCUGGAGCUGUCUUUGGAAUGCUAUUUGGGAGUGAGUUUUUUGACGAUUAUGUUGGCCAACUUGCACUGGCUACAUUAGCUUCUGUUGAAAUUGAGGAAGACACGCAAGAUGCUGAAAUCCGCAAACAGAGAGUUCAGGAGAAGAUGAAGGAACUGCAGAAAGAGAGGGAAAUAAAGCUCGUAACAAUUCUGAAAAAUCGCCUUGAACCAUUUGUUGAAGGUCAAGUGGAUGAGUUCAUAAAUUGGGCAAAUUCAGAAGCUCGUCGCCUCUCUGCAGCUGCAUUUGGUGAGGCGAUGCUGCAUACCAUUGGCUACAUUUACACGAGGAAAGCUGCUAAAGAGCUUGGAAAAGAUAAAAGGUAUAUGAAGGUACCAUUUUUAGCAGAAUGGGUGCGAGAUAAGGGACACCAGAUAAAAUCACAAGUAAUGGCAGCUUCAGGUGCUGUUUCUUUGAUUCAAAUACAGGAGGAUCUAAAGAAGUUGAACCAAACAGAAAACAACGAGGAGAAUUUACUAAAAGCCAUUGAGGAUAGGAAGGAUGCUAUGCUUCAAUCCCUUUGGCAGAUCAAUGUGGUUGAUAUUGAGUCAACUUUGUCACGUGUCUGUCAAGCUGUGCUUAAGGACCCUAGUGUGUCCAAGGAUGUUCUGAGGUUGCGGGCCAAGGGAUUGAAAACGCUUGGAAUAAUCUUUCAAGGUGCCGAAUCUGCUUACAGCAGGGACAACAGCCUGCGCCAUGAAAGUGACAGGAUAGGAGCUGGUCCUGGUUCGUCAUCAUAGUCGUACAUUGGAUACCACUUAUCAUGUUCUCUGUAGAUGCAUAGUCUUUGAAAAUGUUUGGUUUUGUAUCUGUAGCUUCAUACCCUUCUGUUGACCUGUGAACAUGGAGGCGGCUACCAGUUGUGUCGUUUAGGAAUGAUUUCUUAAUUAAUUUUGGUCCAUAUAGACUUUAGGAUACUGCAAAGGUGUUUAAUGUUUGAUGCCAAGCAAGAUUUGUAAGGCAGACAAAUUGCAGUGUUGAGCUGCUCUCUGUUUGAAAAGUGCCUGAGAGUUUUAUGCAUGUUUUCCAA